rnacentral:rRNA from 1 species
UACGUAGGGGGCAAGCGUUGCCCGGAUUUAUUGGGCGUAAAGAGCGUGUAGGCGGCUAUACAGGUCCGCUGUGAAAACUCGAGGCUCAACCUCGAGACGUCGGUGGAAACCGUAUGGCUAGAGUCCGGAAGAGGAGAGUGGAAUUCCUGGUGUAGCGGUGAAAUGCGCAGAUAUCAGGAAGAACACCCGUGGCGAAGGCGGCUCUCUGGGACGGUACUGACGCUGAGACGCGAAAGCGUGGGGAGCGAACAGG